GCAAGCGCCUCCUGAAGUGUCGGGCAUCAUGGACGGAAACGCCAUAGAUGGAUGUGGUCAAAUUCAAGGAAGCCUAAGUCUUCUUAAAGAUAAGGUAAUCUUGAGCCAAGCUCUAAGUCCCUGGUAGAGAAGGUGCAGAGACUGGUUGUAGGUCGCCAAAGGGACACAAAAACAAUAGGGCUAAUCAUGUCUACAACAUAACGGCCACCACCUAAGGACAUCAAGUCUAGGGUGAAGGAAUAGUCCAGAGAGUGAGGAAACUCACAC
rnacentral:ncRNA from 1 species